UACGUAGGGCGCAAGCGUUGUCCGGAAUUAUUGGGCGUAAAGAGCUCGUAGGCGGCUUGUCACGUCGAUUGUGAAAGCCCGAGGCUUAACCUCGGGUCUGCAGUCGAUACGGGCUAGCUAGAGUGUGGUAGGGGAGAUCGGAAUUCCUGGUGUAGCGGUGAAAUGCGUAGAUAUCCGAAGGAACAUCAGUGGCGAAAGCGGCUUCCUGGACCAGAACUGACGAUCAGGCACGAAAGCGUGGGGAGCAAACAGG
rnacentral:rRNA from 1 species